rnacentral:snoRNA from 1 species
AGCCUCAUUCUACUGAAAAUGGGCACUUGUUCAUGGUGUCCAUAAAACUGGUAAUGCGGCAACAUUGAGAACACAGGUUUUGCUUCCAUCACUGUAAUUUUAUUGCAGUGGUGACAAUAAGACCUGUAACAUUU